rnacentral:tRNA from 1 species
AGCGCCCUGGUGUAAUGGCAACAUUACCCGCUCAUUACGGGUCAGAUCUGAGUUCGAAUCUCAGGGGCGCCACCA